rnacentral:rRNA from 1 species
UGAGGAAUAUUGGUCAAUGGGCGUAAGCCUGAACCAGCCAAGUAGCGUGAGGGAAGACUGCCCUAUGGGUUGUAAACCUCUUUUGUGCGGGGAUAAAGUGUGGGACGUGUCCCAUAUUGCAGGUACCGCACGAAUAAGGACCGGCUAAUUCCGUGCCAGCAGCCGCGGUAAUACGGAAGGUCCGGGCGUUAUCCGGAUUUAUUGGGUUUAAAGGGAGCGCAGGCCGUCCUUUAAGCGUGCUGUGAAAUGCCGCGGCUCAACCGUGGCACUGCAGUGCGAACUGGAGGACUUGAGUACGCACGAGGUAGGCGGAAUUCGUGGUGUAGCGGUGAAAUGCUUAGAUAUCACGAAGAACUCCGAUUGCGAAGGCAGCUUACCGGAGCGCAACUGACGCUGAGGCUCGAAAGCGCGGGUAUCGAACAGGAUUAGAUACCCUGGUAGUCCGCGCCGUAAACGAUGGAUGCCCGCCGUUGGGAUUUAGAUUUCAGCGGCCAAGCGAAAGCGUUAAGCAUCCCACCUGGGGAGUACGCCGGCAACGGUGAAACUCAAAGGAAUUGACGGGGGCCCGCACAAGCGGAGGAACAUGUGGUUUAAUUCGAUGAUACGCGAGGAACCUUACCCGGGCUUGAAUUGCAGGAGAACGAUCCAGAGAUGGUGAGGCCCUUCGGGGCUCCUGUGAAGGUGCUGCAUGGUUGUCGUCAGCUCGUGCCGUGAGGUGUCGGCUCAAGUGCCAUAACGAGCGCAACCCCUGUCCAUAGUUGCCAUCAGGUCGUGCUGGGCACUCUGUGGAGACUGCCGCCGUAAGGUGUGAGGAAGGUGGGGAUGACGUCAAAUCAGCACGGCCCUUACGUCCGGGGCUACACACGUGUUACAAUGGGGCAUACAGCGAGUUGGAUGUGCGCAAGUACGUCCGGAUCAAUAAAGUGCCUCUCAGUUCGGACUGGGGUCUGCAACCCGACCCCACGAAGCUGGAUUCGCUAGUAAUCGCGCAUCAGCCAUGGCGCGGUGAAUACGUUCCC